rnacentral:tRNA from 1 species
UGGUGCGGGGCGACGAGGGUGCCGUCGCGCAGUCCUUCGACCACGGCGUCGCGGACGGCCGCGGUGUGCCGGGGGUCGCGUCCUCGCGCGUCGG